rnacentral:rRNA from 1 species
AUACGGAGGAUCCGAGCGUUAUCCGGAUUUAUUGGGUUUAAAGGGAGCGUAGGUGGACUGGUAAGUCAGUUGUGAAAGUUUGCGGCUCAACCGUAAAAUUGCAGUUGAUACUGUCAGUCUUGAGUACAGUAGAGGUGGGCGGAAUUCGUGGUGUAGCGGUGAAAUGCUUAGAUAUCACGAAGAACUCCGAUUGCGAAGGCAGCUCACUGGACUGCAACUGACACUGAUGCUCGAAAGUGUGGGUAUCAAACAGGAUUAGAUACCCUGGUAGUCCACACAGUAAACGAUGAAUACUCGCUGUUUGCGAUAUACAGUAAGCGGCCAAGCGAAAGCAUUAAGUAUUCCACCUGGGGAGUACGCCGGCAACGGUGAAACUCAAAGGAAUUGACGGGGGCCCGCACAAGCGGAGGAACAUGUGGUUUAAUUCGAUGAUACGCGAGGAACCUUACCCGGGCUUAAAUUGCAGUGGAAUGAUGUGGAAACAUGUCAGUGAGCAAUCACCGCUGUGAAGGUGCUGCAUGGUUGUCGUCAGCUCGUGCCGUGAGGUGUCGGCUUAAGUGCCAUAACGAGCGCAACCUUUAUCUUUAGUUACUAACAGGUUAUGCUGAGGACUCUAGAGAGACUGCCGUCGUAAGAUGUGAGGAAGGUGGGGAUGACGUCAAAUCAGCACGGCCCUUACGUCCGGGGCUACACACGUGUUACAAUGGGGGGUACAGAAGGCAGCUAGCGGGUGACCGUAUGCUAAUCCCAAAAGCCUCUCUCAGUUCGGAUCGAAGUCUGCAACCCGACUUCGUGAAGCUGGAUUCGCUAGUAAUCGCGCAUCAGCCACGGCGCGGUGAAUACGUUCCCGGGCCUUGUACACACCGCCCGUCAAGCCAUGGGAGCCGGGGGUACCUGAAGUACGUAACCGCAAGGAUCGUCCUAGGGUAAAACUGGUGACUGGGGCU